GGCUGAAUUUGCUACUGAGUUGCCACAUUUUGAGGGCCUGCAAUUGAAGAAUACAACACUUGAGAUAACAAUUGAAGAAUACUAGAGUAAUAAUAACUACUGCAAGAGUGAUGUAUUUUCUUUUUGUUGGAGAUUUUCUGCAUCUUUUAUGGACGGUAACAUUUGAGAUAACAAUUUGAUGUGCUAACCAUCAAGAUCAACUUCGACAUGUUUGGUCUCUAAAAGUUACUAUUGACCAUCAUUGGUGCAUCCUAUAAGAAGGGGGAAAUAAAGCAUUAAUGUGGAGUAUGUUCCAAUGGAAAUCUUCAAGAACACCUUGAAGGUAAGCAUCAUAUGAUCCUUCACGUCCAUUCAAUCUAUGUAUGAUAGGUGCAAUCGUCUUUUCAAAUUCUAUGUUACUGAGUUCAGAUGUAUGCAGGUCUGAGUGCAAUUUUUCUUUAGUUCUCUGUGAGCUUAAAAAUGCAACUGAUGUGGCCCAUGCAAAUGAGAUUAAAAACAUGGAGAAGAAUCAUAA